rnacentral:rRNA from 1 species
AUACGGAGGGUGCAAGCGUUAUCCGGAAUUAUUGGGUUUAAAGGGUCCGUAGGCGGCUAGAUAAGUCAGUGGUGAAAUUCUCUCGCUCAACGAGAGACCUGCCAUUGAUACUGUCUUGGCUAGAGUUACAGUGAGGUGAGUGGAAUGUGUAGUGUAGCGGUGAAAUGCAUAGAUAUUACACAGAACACCGAUUGCGAAGGCAGCUCACUAACUGUAUACUGACGCUGAUGGACGAAAGCGUGGGGAGCAAACAGGAUUAGAAACCCCGGUAGUCC